rnacentral:rRNA from 1 species
AUUGAACGCUGGCGGCAGGCCUAACACAUGCAAGUCGAGCGAGCGGCGGACGGGUGAGUAAUGUCUGGGAAACUGCCUGAUGGAGGGGGAUCACUACUGGAAACGGUAGCUAAUACCGCAUACCCUCAGAUGUGCCCAGAUGGGAUUAGCUAGUAGGUGGGGUCACGGCUCACCUAGGCGACGAUCCCUAGCUGGUCUGGGAGGAUGACCAGCCAGACUGGAACGUAGACACGGGCCAGACUCCGACGGGAGGCAGCAGUGGGGAAUAUUGCCCAAUGGGCGAAAGCCUGAUGCAGCCAUGCAGCGUGUAUGAAGAAGGCCUUCGGGUUGUAAAGUACUUUCAGCGGGGAGGCGUUACCCGCAGAAGAAGCACCGGCUAACUCCGUGCCAGCAGCCGCGGUAAUUC